rnacentral:rRNA from 1 species
GAAUAGAAAAAAUUAUUAAUUUUUUAUAUUAAAAUUUUAAUAAAAAAAAUAUUUUUAUAUUUAUUAUUUUUUAGAAAAAUAAAGAUUAAUUAUAGUUAAUUUGUAUUGUAAAAGAUAGUUUUAUAUAAUUAAAAGAAAAAUUUAAUAUUUGUACCUUGUGUAUCAGGGUUUAUUAAAAAUAAUUUAAUAAUUUAAUAAUCUCGAAUUUAAAUGAGUUAAUUUAUUAUUAAUUUUAAUGUUAAAUAAUUAUUUAUAAUAAUAAGUUAGUAAUGAAACGUUAAUCGUAUUUAAAUAUAUCUAGUUUUUAAAGAAAAAAAUUAAAUUUUAUUUAAUUUAUAAAUUUUAUUGAUUUUUAAAUAAAAUUUUAUUUUAAAUAAAUUUUAAAAGGGAUAAGCUUUUUAAAAAAUUAAUAUAAUGUAUAAUUAAAUAUAAUAAUAUAUAAAAUUAAAAAUAUUUAGAUUUAAUAAAAUGUUAUAAUAAAGUUAUUUUUAAAUAUAUUUUUUAUAAAAUUUAUUUUUAAUAUUUAAAAAAUUUUAAUAAUAAAUUUUAAAAUGAUAUUAUGAUGAAAUUAGUAAAAUUAAAUUUAUUAAAUGUUAUAUUUUAUAAUUGAGUUUAAGGAAUUCGGCAAAUAUUUUGUUCACCUGUUUAUUAAAAACAUGGCUUUUUGAUAAUAAUUUAAAGUCUAAUCUGCCCACUGAAAAUUUUAAAUGGCCGCAGUAUUUUGACUGUGCUAAGGUAGCAUAAUAAAUAGUUUUUUAAUUGAAAGCUGGUAUGAAUGAUUGGAUGAGAUAAAAACUGUCUUAAAUUUAUAUUUUGAAUUUUAUUUUUGAGUUAAAAAGCUUAAAUAAAAUUAAAAGACGAGAAGACCCUAUAGAGUUUAAUAAAUUAUUAUAUUAAUUUUUUUUUUUAUUAUAUAUUUUGAUAUAUUUAUUUAUUUUGUUGGGGUGAUUGAAAAAUUUAAUAAACUUUUUUUAUUUAUAAACAUUAAUUUAUGAUUUUAUGAUCCAUUAUUAAUGAUUAAAAGAAUAAAUUACCUUAGGGAUAACAGCGUAAUUAUUUUUGAGAGUUCUUAUCAAAAAAAUAGAUUGCGACCUCGAUGUUGGAUUAAAGUUAAAAUUUGGUGUAGAAGCUAAAAUUUUAAGUCUGUUCGACUUUUGAAACUUU